rnacentral:tRNA from 1 species
GAACCGGUAUCCAAGUUGGUCGAAGGGCGCGGACUUUUAAUCCGAUGGCGAAAGCCCACCGUGGGUUCGAUCCCCACCCGGUUCUCCA